rnacentral:rRNA from 1 species
GAAUAUUGGACAAUGGGCGAAAGCCUGGUCCAGCCAUGCCGCGUGUGUGAAGAAGGUCUUCGGAUUGUAAAGCACUUUAAGUUGGGAGGAAGGGUUGUAGAUUAAUACUCUGCAAUUUUGACGUUACCGACAGCAUACGCACCGGCCAACGUCGUGCCAGCAGCCGCGGUAAUACGAAGGGUGCAAGCGUUAAUCGGAAUUACUGGGCGUAAAGCGCGCGUAGGUGGUUUGUUAAGUUGGAUGUGAAAUCCCCGGGCUCAACCUGGGAAUUGCAUCCAAAACUGGCGAGCUAGAGUAGGGCAGAGGGUGGUGGAAUUUCCUGUGUAGCGGUGAAAUGCGUAGAUAUGCGGAGGAACACCGAUGGCGAAGGCAACCCCCUGGGCCUGUACUGACGCUCAUGCACGAAAGCGUGGGGAGCAAACAGG